CUCUUCAGAUUAGGCAACAGCCCGCCUCUCUCCUGGCAGAUGAGGUUCAGAAUCGCUGCGGAGAUAGGCACCGGACUCCUGUUCUUGCACCAGGCUAAACCGGAGCCUCUGGUCCACCGCGAUCUCAAACCGGGAAACAUCUUGCUAGACCGUAACUUCGUCAGCAAGAUAUCUGACGUCGGUUUGGCGAGAUUAGUCCCGCCUUCGGUUGCAGACACCGUGACGCAGUACCGCAUGACUUCAACAGCUGGCACCUUCUGUUACAUUGAUCCUGAGUAUCAGCAGACAGGGAUGCUGGGUGUGAAAUCUGAUAUCUACUCGCUCGGCAUUAUCUUCCUGCAGCUGAUCACGGCGAAACCGCCGAUGGGUUUGACUCAUUACGCGGAGAGAGCACUUGAGAAAGGGACUCUGUCGGAUUUACUCGAUCCGGCGGUUCCGGACUGGCCGGUUGAAGACACUGCAGAGUUUGCUAAGCUAGCGCUGCAAUGCGCGGAGCUGAGGAGAAAGGACAGACCUGAUCUUGCUAAAGUGAUAUUGCCGGUGCUGAACAGAUUAAGAACACUUGCUGAUGAAUCAACACAGUCUCUACUUGUCAUCAACAGCCCCGGACCGUCUCCUAACAGUAGCCAAACUUCUGUGAAACUGGUGAGAACUACUCAUUAUUUUUGAAGUCCCUGGACCAUCUGAAUAUUCAUUAGUAUGACUCUUUUGCUUAUGUCUUCUCUUUCACUGUAUAAUUUCAGGAACAAAUGAGUGGUGCUUCUAUCUCUGUGCCUCAAUAAUAUUUGAUCUACACACAACAAGAGGCAACUAUACAGGAUUCAGAUGCAACUUGGAGUGUCAUAUACAAUUUUAACUUUAAGUAGACAAAAAAACUCAAAUAAAGAACUUGCAUGCUCCUAGUAUAAGGAGAUGCAGUAGAGUUCUGUCUUUCCCUUGUAGAGAAAGUGUUUUGAAAUGUACAGAUAAAAUUCUUAUAAUCUAACUAACCAUAUAUUCAAGAUAUUAAACUCAUUAAGCAAAACAAACUUAAUGCUCUUAUGAAGCAAUUUCAGUGGUCUUGAAUUGCUUUUCAGUUUACGCAGGUUAAAGUUUUUAUUGAUAGAUCACGUAAUGUAAGAGAAUCUUGUAAAAUAUCAGAUGCCCAAAAAAAUAAUUUAGUGUAAAUUCAAUUCAAAACAACAACAAAAAUAGCCGCAAAAUUGUUAUCUAUCUUAACGAGAGAAAAAAUGAGAAGAAAACAAGAAGCUAGAACUCUUGAAUCUCAAAGAGGACCACAAAAAUUAAUCCCAACCAGCGGCUGGAACCGCUGCCGGAGGUGGCACAGCUGUGUCCCAACCAUCUGCAGCUGGAGCAGCUGUGAAAACAAAAACAUUUGAACACUGACAUCAGAUUCAGAUUAAGCAAUACAAAAGCCAAAGCUUAGAUCUUGUCAGAAAACUUAAUUACCACUGAUUGGCUGCUGAGCUUCUCCUGUCCACGAAGCAUCAGGAAUCCCAGCAGUGGUCCAUUGGUCUCCACCGGAAACUCCAUAUUCAGGUGCAGCAAAAUCUGCUUGAGGAGCAGCUUCUUCAUCUUCAAGUUGCUUAGCCUCCUCAGGCUCUCUGUAAAAGAACAGAUCCAUCUAUACAAAACAAAACAUACCAAACAUGAAUAACCAAAACAAAUUAUCUACUUCACAAAAAGACAAAUAAAUAUUACUCUUACCAUGACAUCCCACUUCUGUCCAGGACGGAUGGUUCCACGCAUCUGAAGGACCAUGCGAGCAAGAAUCCAAAAGAGACAACCAAUGCUGUGCUUUCCCUUGUUGUUAGCAGGGAUCCCAAUGUCGACAAAUCUCAUGGGAGAGUCUGUGUCACAAAAGGCAAUGAUGGGAAUGUUCCCCAAAGCACCUUCCUUGAUUGGCUGCAAACAAAGACACUAAACUCUCAACAAACAAGACAUUGACCAAUAAGUCACUACAUUAGGGACAACGAACUCAUUUUUAGGGUCAGUAAGAAUGAGCAACCUAGGCUCACUGAAGGAAGUCUGCAUCUGAUUGGUGAAAGUGCCAGGAGUGUGCCUUCCAGCGAUAGCAUUAGCACCAGUGUAUUGCGCAAACUUGAGAACAGCUCUCUGACCAUAUGGUCUAGCAGAUUGAACGAUAAUGUCCUGUGGGUUCUCAAUGGCUACGAUGACACGAGCAGCCAUGUACAACUUCUCUAAUGUUUUUCCUAGGUCGAGGAUAUUUAUACCUGACAAAACGAAACCGAGAAAGUUCAGAGAGUAGUAACGUAACCGCCACGCAAUACACAGUAACUACUACAAAUCUCUCAAAAACCCUAACGCAAUCAUCAAUGAGCAAAAGAUGAUGAGGUGAGACUUACCAUCGUUGCGUCUCUUGUAGACGUAACGUUCCAUCUGGUAAUUGCAGUUUUUGGUUCCGAGGUGAACCUCAGAGGCAAUCAUCAUUCGGAUGUCGGAUUCUUUCUGGGAGAGCUGUACGUUUGUCGCCAUAUUGUUACUCUCUUCUUCUUAUUCUCCGGGAAGCUGGACUUAUAGCCGAGAGUAAUGUGCUGAGUAGAUUCAGUAACGACGACGAAACUAAGAGUAUAAAGGAGAGUUGGUUAACUUGAAACCCUAAAUGUCGACGGCACCACAAAUAAGGCAGGGCAAAAAAACCGAAUCCGAUCCGAAAAAAUAGUACCGAGCCCGAACCAAAAUUGAUUAAAUAUCCAAACGGGUUCAAAAUUUUGGUAUCUAAAUAACCGAAUCCGAACCCAACACUACAAGAAAACACAGUUUUAGCAAGGAAAUUUAACGAGGAAAACUAUUCCUCGUGAAAUUACGAUGACUUAACGAUGAAAUUGCGAGGAAAUAAAGUUUCCUCGUAAUAGCCUUGUAAAAUACCGAGUAAAGCUUUUCCUCGUAGAAUCGUCGUAAGUUGACGUGGUUUUUCCGAGAAAAAUGUGUUUCGUCGCAAAUUCGUCGUAAUUUUAGCAUGAUUUUUACGAGGAAAUAACUUACGAGGAAAGAACGAGAAAUCCACCAACUUAACACGUUUUUUUGCCACCAACCUAAUUUUUCGUCGUAAAUUCCUAGCAAAAUUCAACUACCAGAUUCGAAAAUUUUCUAUAUAUAUGGAGGUUUGAACAUAAUUUUACGCACACCAACAAGAAAAAAAAAACGUGAAAAAAAUGUCGGGCUUGGGAAAUAUUUUCGAGUUGCGGAGGUGGAUGUAUAUGCAUAGAGAUGCUAACGGGAGAGUGACGAAAGAAUAUCUUGCUGGGUUGGAGCGUUUUAUGCAUCAAGCAGAUUCUACACCGCUCGCCCAAGAAAGCGGUAAAAUAUUCUGUCCUUGUAGGAAAUGUAACAAUUCAAAGUUGGCAAAUCGUGAAAAUGUUUGGAAGCAUUUAGUAAAUAGAGGUUUCACGCCAAAUUAUUAUAUCUGGUUUCAACAUGGAGCAAGGGAUGUCUCAGUUUCAGCAAGAGAUUGAGGUGUUGAGCUGCAUUAGGCACCCUAACAUGGUUCUACUUCUUGGAGCUUGCCCUGAGGGUGGAUGUUUGGUCUACGAGUUCAUGGCCAACGGGAGCUUAGAGGAUCGUCUCUUCAGAUUAGGCAACAGCCCGCCUCUCUCCUGGCAGAUGAGGUUCAGAAUCGCUGCGGAGAUAGGCACCGGACUCCUGUUCUUGCACCAGGCUAAACCGGAGCCUCUGGUCCACCGCGAUCUCAAACCGGGAAACAUCUUGCUAGACCGUAACUUCGUCAGCAAGAUAUCUGACGUCGGUUUGGCGAGAUUAGUCCCGCCUUCGGUUGCAGACACCGUGACGCAGUACCGCAUGACUUCAACAGCUGGCACCUUCUGUUACAUUGAUCCUGAGUAUCAGCAGACAGGGAUGCUGGGUGUGAAAUCUGAUAUCUACUCGCUCGGCAUUAUCUUCCUGCAGCUGAUCACGGCGAAACCGCCGAUGGGUUUGACUCAUUACGCGGAGAGAGCACUUGAGAAAGG
rnacentral:lncRNA from 1 species